GAUCUAAUUAAAAGUUGAACUUGGCGAGUUCAGCUCUGCAUUCAUUGUUGGGGGUGUUCCUGUGCACUGAGAAUGCUCUUACAGGCUUUCUAUUGGCUGUUUGUCACAUGUUUCUCUGGAUUCUUGAUUGAUGAGAGGACCCUACACUUCACUACCCUACAGUAUGAUUGGUUCAACUAUAGAUGUGAAUAUGUGGAGCCAGAUUCUAACAGGGAAUGGUGAUUUCAAGUGAAACUUGUUUCAGCUCUCAGACUGACUGAAGUCCAGAAGAUGGAGGAAGAGGAGGACAGAGCAGAGUCUCCAGGAUCCAUCUGUCUGUCUAUGAAGAGUGACCGGUCCAAAGAAGAACCUCCAGACUUCAGUGAAGAACCUGGAACCCCAGACACAAAAGAGAGGAAGAGGAGCAUGUUCCUGUGGAGGAGCAGCCGUCCUGCGGUGUUUGGUGUCAGGACGUCCUGAAGGAUCCGGUCUCUACCAGCUGUGGACACUGGUUCUGAAGACACUGCAUCACCUCAUACUGGGACCAGUCGCUUCAUCAGGAGACUCCUCCUGUCCCCAGUGUGGAGAACGAUCCAGAACAAGACGUGGACUGCAGACAGCCAGUCAGACCAGCACUGUCCAAAUGAGUGGUGGUCUGCAGGAGGUUUUAGAUGAACAUAAGAUCAGUCUGAAGACCAGAUGUG